CUUAUAUUGUCUGCUUAGAACUGGAUUAUAUGAGGCCCGUUCUUCACAGCUGUAUAAAAUGCACACUGAAGUGGAUUAUAUGGUAGUGUGGACUCAAGAUAAUCCAGUGCAAAGCAGAUAAUAUAAGAUUAUAAAUGGGUUAUAUAGCUGUGUGGAAGGGCCUUGAGUCUACACUGCCAUAUAAACCAGUGCAAAUUAGAUAAUCUGUGGAAGAGACCUAAGUGAGGCCUAAAUCUGCCUGUCCCCUAACUGAACCCUGGCUGUCCCUUGGCUGAAUUGGUUGCUAGGAGACGAAGUGGGCAGAGAUUAGCCCUCUAAACUGGCAGCAAUUGGAUAAAAACAAUUAUUGCUCUCCCUCUAAUUAGGACUUUAUUUUUCUUUUCUUUUUGUUGUAUCUUACUGGAGCCGUGGAUGAUGGGUUGUGUUGUCAAAUUUCGAGGGAGAGCAAUAAUUGUUGUUAUCCAAUUGCUGCCAGUUUAGAGGGCUAAUCUCUGCCCACUUGGUCGCCUAGCAACCAAUUCAGCCAAAGGACAGCCAGGAUUCAGUUAGGGGACAGGCAGAUUUCGGCCUCACUUAGGCUUUUUCCACAGAUUAUCUAAUUUGCACUGGAUUAUAUGGCAGUGUAGACUCAAGGCCCUUCCACACAGCUAUAUAACCCAUUUUUAAUCUUAUAUUAUCUGCUUUGCACUGGAUUAUCUUGACUCCACACUACCAUAUAAUCCACUUCAGUGUGCAUUUUAUACAGCUGUGAAGAAGGGGCCUCAUAUAAUCCAGUUCUAAGCAGAUAAUAUAAGAUUAUCAAUAAACAGUAGACUCUCACUUAUCCAACAUAAACAGGCCGGCAGGAUAAGUGAAUAUGUUGGAUAAUAAGAAGAGAUUCAGGAAAAGCCGAUUAAACAUCAAAUUAGGUAAACAUUAUACAAAUUAAGCACCAAAACAUCAUAUUAUACAACAAAUUUGACAGAAAAGGUAGUUCCACACGCAGUAAAGUUAUGUAGUAAUUACAGUAGAAUCUCACUUAUCCAACACUCGCUUAUCCAACAUUCUGGAUUAUCCAACGCAUUUUUGUAGUCAAUGUUUUCAAUAUAUCGUGAUAUUUUGGUGCUAAAUUCAUAAAUACAGUAAUUACUACAUAGCAUUACUGCGUAUUGAACUACUUUUUCUGCCAAAUUUGUUGUCUAACAUGAUGUUUUGGUG
rnacentral:lncRNA from 1 species